rnacentral:lncRNA from 1 species
UGUUAUUUGUGGUGGAACGAGCAACAACGGUUAUGUUUGCGGCACUGUUGAUGGGUGCUUUGUGGUUUGCUGGUAGGGCGGCCAAAGGAUUUCUCUUUUCCUGACGGACUUUCUCCCGAGAAGAAUUCUCUUGGUAGGGUGCUAUAUCUAGGUUUGCUACGGUCUUGGGUGCGUUGAUCAGCGAGAGGGCGUAGCUAGCCAUGAUUAGCACUUGGGAAUGGGAGAGCUUAGCAAACUUUUGCACAAGGGAGAAGAGAGAGUCUUGGUGUGAAGAAAAGAGAGAGCCAUGGGUUGUUUAAAUAGGUUCUAUCGAGGUCAUAAAAACAGAAACAAACUUGAUUGUAGGCGGGG